rnacentral:rRNA from 1 species
UACGUAGGGGGCGAGCGUUGUCCGGAUUUAUUGGGCGUAAAGAGCUCGUAGGCGGUUUGGUAAGUCGGGUGUGAAAUCUCCACGCUCAACGUGGAGGGGCCACUCGAUACUGCCAUGACUCGAGUCCGGUAGAGGAGUGUGGAAUUCCCGGUGUAGCGGUGAAAUGCGCAGAUAUCGGGAAGAACACCCGUGGCGAAGGCGGCUCUCUGGGACGGUACUGACGCUGAGACGCGAAAGCGUGGGGAGCGAACAGG